CCUCUUAGGCAAAUCCGGGACCCUUUAUGCCGAGCACCGAGACGAGCCCUAUUGGGCGAAGUGACUGACACCACGCUUCCAGGAAAAGCCAUUAAGCUUCAGCUAUAGAAAAACCGUACCGUAAACCGACACUGGUAGGCAGGGUGAGAAUCCCAAGGCGCUUGAGAGAACUCGGGUGAAGGAACUAGGCAAAAUGGCACCGUAACUUCGGGAGAAGGUGCGCCCUUUUUGGUGGCUACAUGCGUAGCUGAGCUGAGAAGGGUCGCAGUAACCUGGCCGCUGCGACUGUUUAUCAAAAACACAGCACUCUGCAAACACGAAAGUGGACGUAUAGGGUGUGACGCCUGCCCGGUGCUGGAAGGUUAAUUGAUGGGGUCAGCCGCAAGGCGAAGCUCUUGAUCGAAGCCCCAGUAAACGGCGGCCGUAACUAUAACGGUCCUAAGGUAGCGAAAUUCCUUGUCGGGUAAGUUCCGACCUGCAAAUGGCGUAACGACAGCGGCGCUGUCUCCACCCGAGACUCAGUGAAAUUGAAUUCGCUGUGAAGAUGCAGCGUUCCCGCGGCAAGACGGAAAGACCCCGUGAACCUUUACUAUAGCUUUACACUGAACGUUGAGUUCUUCUGUGUAGGAUAGGUGGGAGGCUUUGAAGCGCAGACGCCAGUUUGCGUGGAGCCAACCUUGAAAUACCACCCUGAAGUGCUUGACGUUCUAACCUAGGCCCGUAAUCCGGGUCAGGGACCGUGUAUGGUGGGUAGUUUGACUGGGGCGGUCUCCUCCCAAAGAGUAACGGAGGAGCACGAAGGUACGCUCAGCGCGGUCGGACAUCGCGCACUGUGUGCAAUGGCAUAAGCGUGCUUGACUGCGAGAUCGACGGAUCAAGCAGGUAAAAGUAGGUCAUAGUGAUCCGGUGGUUCUGUAUGGAAGGGCCAUCGCUCAACGGAUAAAAGGUACUCCGGGGAUAACAGGCUGAUACCGCCCAAGAGUUCAUAUCGACGGCGGUGUUUGGCACCUCGAUGUCGGCUCAUCACAUCCUGGGGCUGUAGCCGGUCCCAAGGGUAUGGCUGUUCGCCAUUUAAAGUGGUACGCGAGCUGGGUUCAGAACGUCGUGAGACAGUUCGGUCCCUAUCUGUCGUGGGCGUUGGAGAUUUGAGGGGGGCUGCUCCUAGUACGAGAGGACCGGAGUGGACGUUCCGCUGGUGUUCGGGUUGUCAUGCCCAUGGCAUUGCCCGGUAGCUAUGAACGGAAGUGAUAACCGCUGAAAGCAUCUAAGCGGGAAGCACGCCCCAAGAUGAGAUCUCCCGAGAGCUUGACUCUCCUUAAGGCACCAUCAAGACCAGGUGGUUGAUAGGUCAGGUGUGGAAGUGCAGCAAUGCAUGGAGCUAACUGAUACUAAUGAGCCGUGAGGCUUGACCAA
rnacentral:rRNA from 1 species